rnacentral:rRNA from 1 species
GGGAGGCAGCAGUGGGGAAUAUUGCACAAUGGGCGGAGGCCUGAUGCACAACGCCGCGUGAGGGAUGACGGCCUUCGGGUUGUAAACCUCUUUUACCAGGGAAGAAGGGAAAGUGACGGUACCUGCAGAAAAAGCGCCGGCUAACUACGUGCCAGCAGCCGCGGUAAUACGUAGGGCGCAAGCGUUAUCCGGAAUUAUUGGGCGUAAAGAGCUCGUAGGCGGUUUGUCGCGUCUGCUGUGAAAUCCCCAGGCUCAACCUCGGGCCUGCAGUGGGUACGGGCAGACUAGAGUGCGGUAGGGGAGAUUGGAAUUCCUGGUGUAGCGGUGGAAUGCGCAAUUUCCGGAGGAACACCGAUUGCGAAAGCAGAUCUCUGGGCCCAACUGACGCUGAAGAACUAAAGGCUGGGGAGGAACAGGCUUACAUACCCUGGUAGUCCACCCCGGAAACGUUGGGAACUAAUGUGGGGCCAUUCCACGGAUUCCGGACGCAGCUAAACAUUAAGUUUCCCCCUGGGGAAACCGCCCAAGGUCAAAUCAAAGGAAUUACCGGGACCCCACAAAGGGGGAGCACGCGGAUUAUUCAUGCACGCGCAAACCUUACAUGGUUGACAAUACAAAACUGCCAGAAAUGGCAACUCUUAGACCUCGAAAACGGGGGUCCUGGUGGCGCCAACCCCGUCCGGGAGAUUGGGUAAGUCCCCAACCAGGAAACCUUGUUCAUUUUCCACACGAAUAGCCGGAACCUUGGGAAACCCCGGUCACCCCCAGAAAGGGGGAGAAGCAAACAAAAAACCCU